rnacentral:sRNA from 1 species
UCGCAACGUCGGAAGGUGCGCUCGAAAA